rnacentral:rRNA from 1 species
GACGAACGCUGGCGGCGUGCUUAACACAUGCAAGUCGAGCGGUAAGGCCCUUUCGGGGGUACACGAGCGGCGAACGGGUGAGUAACACGUGGGUGACCUGCCCUCAGCUCUGGGAUAAGCCUGGGAAACCGGGUCUAAUGCCGGAUAUGACUCCAUGACGCAUGUUGUGGGGUGGAAAGCCUUGUGCGGCUGAGGAUGGGCCCGCGGCCUAUCAGCUUGUUGGUGGGGUGANGGCCUACCAAGGCGACGACGGGUAGCCGGCCUGAGAGGGCGACCGGCCACACUGGGACUGAGACACGGCCCAGACUCCUACGGGAGGCAGCAGUGGGGAAUCUUGCGCAAUGGGCGAAAGCCUGACGCAGCGACGCCGCGUGAGGGAUGACGGCCUGG